rnacentral:rRNA from 1 species
GUAGGGAAUAUUGGGCAAUGGAUGCAAGUCUGACCCAGCCAUGCCGCGUGCAGGAAGAAGGUCCUCUGGAUUGUAAACUGCUUUUAUCUGGGAAGAAAAAGGCCAUGCGUGGCAAAUUGCCGGUACCAGAUGAAUAAGCACCGGCUAACUCCGUGCCAGCAGCCGCGGUAAUACGGAGGGUGCAAGCGUUGUCCGGAUUUAUUGGGUUUAAAGGGUGCGUAGGCGGCUGAUUAAGUCAGCGGUGAAAGACUCCGGCUUAACCGGAGCAGUGCCGUUGAUACUGGUUAGCUUGAGUGUUGGAGGGGUACAUGGAAUUGAUGGUGUAGCGGUGAAAUGCAUAGAUACCAUCAGGAACACCGAUAGCGAAGGCAUUGUACUGGCCAACAACUGACGCUGAUGCACGAAAGUGUGGGGAUCGAACAGGAUUAGAUACCCGAGUAGUCC